GAUGAACGCUAGCGAUAGGCCUAACACAUGCAAGUCGAGGGGCAUCACAUGAAGUAGCAAUACGGAUGGUGGCGACCGGCGCACGGGUGAGUAACACGUAUGCAACCUGCCUUCAACAAGGGGAUAACCCGUUGAAAGACGGACUAAUACCCUAUAACACAGGGGUCCCGCAUGGGAAUAUUUGUUAAAGGACAACCGGUUGAAGAUGGGCAUGCGUUCCAUUAGCUAGUUGGCGGGGUAAGGGCCCACCAAGGCAACGAUGGAUAGGGGAACUGAGAGGUUUAUCCCCCACACUGGUACUGAGACACGGACCAGACUCCUACGGGAGGCAGCAGUAAGGAAUAUUGCUCAAUGGCCGAAAGGCUGAAGCAGCAACGCCGCGUGGAGGAUGAAAUACUUUUGUAUGUAAACUCCUGUAAGAAGGGAAAAUAUUUCGAUUUAUCGGAAUUGAUUGUACCUUCAGAGUAAGCACCGGCUAACUACGUGCCAGCAGCCGCGGUAAGU
rnacentral:rRNA from 1 species